rnacentral:rRNA from 1 species
CCCUUAGAUGUUCUGGGCCGCACGCGCGCUACACUGACGAAGUCAGCGAGCAUGUCCUACGCCGACAGGUGCGGGGAAUCUUGUCAAACUUCGUCGUGAUGGGGAUUGAUUAUUGAAAUUCUUGAUCAUCAACGAGGAAUUCCUAGUAAGCGCAAGUCAGCAGCUUGCGUUGAUUACGUCCCUGCCCUUUGUACACACCGCCCGUCGCUACUACCGAUUGAAUGGUUUAGUGAGAUCUUCGGAUUGGCGCCACUGCGGCUCAGCAAUGGGCUCGGUGGAUGCCGAAAAGUUGAUCAAACUUGAUCAUUUAGAGGAAGUAAAAGUCGCAACA